rnacentral:rRNA from 1 species
GACGAACGCUGGCGGCGUGGAUUAGGCAUGCAAGUCGAACGGUAUCAUCCUUUCGGGGGUGAGAGAGUGGCGAACUGGUGAGUAACACGUAGGUUAUCUACCCUCAAGACGGGGACAACCCAGGGAAACUUGGGCUAAUACCGGAUGUGAGCAACUUUUAGUUGUUUGAAAGGUGGCGUAAGCUGUCGCUUGGGGAUGAGCCUGCGUCCUAUUAGUUAGUUGGUGAGGUAACGGCUCACCUAGGCAAUGAUAGGUAGGCGGCCUUAACGGGUGGUCGCCCACACUGGGAUUGAGAUACGGCCCAGACUCCUACGGGAGGCAGCAGUCGAGAAUAGUCUACAAUGGUCGGAAGACUGAUAGUGCGACGCCGCGUGAACGAUGAAUCCCUUCGGGGUGUAAAGUUCUUUUAUAUGUGAGCAGUGCUUCUUAUAUUAACAGUAUGGGGAGAGGGAUAUUAGCAUAUGAAUAAGCAACGGCUAACUCCGUGCCAGCAGCCGACGGUAAAAUCACG